rnacentral:rRNA from 1 species
CCUACGGGAGGCAGCAGUGAGGAAUAUUGGUCAAUGGACGAGAGUCUGAACCAGCCAAGUCGCGUGAAGGAUGACUGCCCUAUGGGUUGUAAACUUCUUUUAUAUGGGAAUAAAACGUUCCACGUGUGGGAUAUUGUAUGUACCAUAUGAAUAAGGAUCGGCUAACUCCGUGCCAGCAGCCGCGGUAAUACGGAGGAUCCGAGCGUUAUCCGGAUUUAUUGGGUUUAAAGGGAGCGUAGGUGGAUUGUUAAGUCAGUUGUGAAAGUUUGCGGCUCAACCGUGAAAUUGCAGUUGAAACUGGCAGUCUUGAGUACAGUAGAGGUAGGCGGAAUUCGUGGUGUAGCGGUGAAAUGCUUAGAUAUCACGAAGAACUCCGAUUGCGAAGGCAGUUCACUGGACUGCAACUGACACUGAGGCUCGAAAGUGUGGGGAUCAAACAGGAUUAGAUACCCUAGUAGUC